rnacentral:rRNA from 1 species
ACGCUCGACACCUACGGGGGCAGCAGUGGGGAGUAUUGCACAAUGGGGGAAACCCUGAUGCAGCGACGCCGCGUGAGUGAAGAAGUAUUUCGGUAUGUAAAGCUCUAUCAGCAGGGAAGAAAAUGACGGUACCUGACUAAGAAGCCCCGGCUAACUACGUGCUAGCAGCCGCGGUAAUCUGAGCGGGCUGGCAAGGC